UGAAAGUGAGUGGAGAGUUCUCUUCAAUCCAGAAGCUUCCUCUACUCAUGCCUAGGUCAAUGGUGCCUCUCCAUGAAACUAGCGUUAUCUACCGGAUGGUCUUCCUCUUUGUGCACUGCUCAAGCAAAAAUGAUACGGUGUUGCCAUCUUUCCUGUGUUCUGCUGACUAAAUCCGCCGCCUUAUCCUCUUCAUUCGGUGCCUGUGCACAGGGCAUGUCAUGUGGACCUUGAGCGAUAGGAUUUGAAGCUUGAGGCAAUUGUGGGUGUUUGUGGCAAUGCACGACAAGUAUGACGGCAUUCCAUGCAAAUCCUUGCCUGAGGCCAAAUAUGAAGUGUUCUUUUUAGCAUCGUUGGAUCCUAUGAUUGUGUUUUGUUGAAUGAGGUGUGAUAUAACAUGUUUAUUACCACAUGAAUGUAUGUACGUGAUUGAAUGAUUACGAGAUUGGUUGACUUAUAUGCAUGUUAGAAAUUAUAAUUGCUUAGAACAGAUUAAGUGGGGUAGCAAAUCGAGUGUUUCUUUGACUCUGAUUAUACAUUAGUGAGCAUCCUAGCUUGA